GACGAACGCUGGCGGCGUGCCUAAUACAUGCAAGUAGAACGCAGUUGCGAACGGGUGAGUAACGCGUAGGUAACUGCCUCAUAGCGGGGGAUAACUCUUGGAAACGAUAGCUAAUACCGCAUACUGUGAGAUGGACCUGCGUGGUAUUAGCUAGUUGGUGAGGUAAAGGCUCACCAAGGCGACGCUACAUAGCCGACCUGAGAGGUUGAUCGGCCACACUGGGACGGAGACACGGCCCAGACUCCUCCGUGAGGCAGCAGUGGGGAAUAUUGCACAAUGGGGGAAACCCUGAUGCAGCCAUGCCGCGUGUGUGAAGAAGGCCUUCGGGUUGUAAAGCACUUUCAGCGGGGAGGCGUUACUCGCAGAAGAAGCACCGGCUAACUCCGUGCCAGCAGCCGCGGUAAUUC
rnacentral:rRNA from 1 species